GCGAAUUCUUGAUAUCCAAAAUGCAAUUCUUGAUAUCCAAAAUUCAAAUUGUUGAUAUCCAAAAUUCAAAUUGUUGAUAUCCAAAAUGCAAUUCUUGAUAUCAACAAUUCGAAUUCUUGAUAUCCAAAAUGCAAUUCUGGAUAUCAAGUUAGCAUACAUUUGCGUAAUUAAAGCUGUAAACCAAUGGGUAGGGGAGUGGGGGGAGUUUAAAAAAACGUUGCGUACACUACGCAAGAGUUGGGAUUCUGUUGGGUUUAGUCUGCUCGUACCGUAGCAGACGGGUUGGAAGAUGUCUGUACAAGUGUUUGUAAUGAAAAAGUCUCAUAAUCUCAUAAGAAACCUACGUGGACCACCCAACAAAAGAGGUGGCCCAGAGUCCUUGGAUCAUGACUACCUGGCCUGACAACACCAAGCUGACCUUGUCCAAAGCCGCUGUCCACAGCCCACAUGGUGGACCUUGUCUACCUGGUUGAACAGCUCGUCUGGAUUCAGUCUGAAGAAAGGACACAGUUCACCUAUGUUUAUUGAGCUGCUGGUCUUCUGAACAUGCACAAAUAUGAAUGUGACUUUAAAGGUAAUCCAAUCUGAUCUCACCAGCAAAAGCAGAAGACAACACCUCAUACUCCGACUACUAUUUGAUAUGUCAGCAACGUUAGAUCAGAGGAAUGUGCCCAUAUUGUGUACAAACUUUUACCUUUACAUCUCAUGUGCUAGGGAUAAGUAGUUAUUAGAGGGGGCAGGUAUCAAUGUAAUGUUUUAUGUGAAGCUAUUAAAUAAAUCCAAAGUCACAUUUAUAUUGUACGAAUUAUAAUCACUUUCUUUUAAUAAAGUUUGUUUGCAAUA